AUUGAACGCUGGCGGCAUGCCUUACACAUGCAAGUCGAACGGCAGCACGGGAGCAAUCCUGGUGGCGAGUGGCGAACGGGUGAGUAAUAUAUCGGAACGUGCCCAGUCGUGGGGGAUAACGUAGCGAAAGCUACGCUAAUACCGCAUACGAUCUACGGAUGAAAGCGGGGGAUCGCAAGACCUCGCGCGAUUGGAGCGGCCGAUAUCAGAUUAGGUAGUUGGUGAGGUAAAGGCUAACCAAGCCGACGAUCUGUAGCGGGGCUGAGAGGACGACCAGCCACACUGGGACUGGGACACGGCCCAGACUCCUACGGGAGGCAGCAGUGGGGAAUUUUGGACAAUGGGCGCAAGCCUGAUCCAGCAAUGCCGCGUGCAGGAUGAAGGCCUUCGGGUUGUAAACUGCCUUUGUACGGAACGAAACGGCGAGCUCUAAUGCAGUUUGCUAAUGACGGUACCGUAAGAAUAAGCACCGGCUAACUACGUGCCAGCCGCCGCCGUAA
rnacentral:rRNA from 1 species